rnacentral:rRNA from 1 species
ACUCAAAUGAAUAGACGGGGGCCCGCACAAGCGGUGGAGCAUGUGGUUUAAUUCGAUGCAACGCGAAGAACCUUACCUACGUUUGACAUCGGGGGAAGCUUUCUGAGAGGGAAGCGUGCCGAAAGGAACCCUCAGACAGGUGCUGCAUGGCUGUCGUCAGCUCGUGUCGUGAGAUGUUGGGUUAAGUCCCAUAACGAGCGCAACCCCUAUGUUCAGUUGCCAGCACGUGAAGGUGGGCACUUUGAACAGACUGCCCGCGUUAAGCGGGAGGAAGGCGGGGAUGAUGUCAAGUCAUCAUGGCCUUUAUACGUAGGGCUACACACGUGCUACAAUGGUGCGCACAAUAGGAGGCGAAGCCGCGAGGUGGAGCGAAGCCUGAAAAGCGCAUCGUAGUCCGGAUUGAAGUCUGCAACUCGACUUCAUGAAGCUGGAAUCGCUAGUAAUCGCAAAUGAGCAUGUUGCGGUGAAUACGUUCUCGGGCCUUGUACACACCGCCCGU